rnacentral:rRNA from 1 species
CAAUAGCGUAUAUUAAAGUUGUUGCAGUUAAAAAGCUCGUAGUUGGACCUUGGACCUGGACAGGCGGUCCGCCUCACGGCGUGUACUGUCUUGCUGGGUCUUUCCUCUUGGUGAUCUGUUGUUUCGGCAGCAGGGAACCAGGACUUUUACUUUGAAAAAAUUAGAGUGUUCAAAGCAGGCUCGACGCCGGAAUAUAUUAGCAUGGAAUAAUAAAAUAGGACGUGCGGUUCUAUUUUGUUGGUUUUUGGAAUCGCCGUAACGAUUAAUAGGGACAGUCGGGGGCAUUAGUACUCACAUGCUAGAGGUGAAAUUCUUGGAUUUUGUGAAGACUAACUUCUGCGAAAGCAUUUGCCAAGGAUGUUUUCAUUAA